rnacentral:rRNA from 3 species
CACCUGACCCCAUGCCGAACUCAGAAGUGAAACGCCGUAGCGCCGAUGGUAGUGUGGGGUCUCCCCAUGCGAGAGUAGGGAACUGCCAGGCA